rnacentral:rRNA from 1 species
AAAUAACAACAACGGGCUUUGUCUCGUUGAUUGGAAUGAGCACAAUGUAAAAGUCUUAGCUAGGACCCACNNGGAGGGCAAGUCUGGUGCCAGCAGCCGCGGUAAUUCCAGCUCCAGUAGCGUAUAUUAAAGUUGUUGCAGUUAAAAAGCUCGUAGUUGGACUUCCACUCCUCCGGGAGCAGCCUUGCAACUCUACAUGUCCUUAAACGGAUGGUAGAGACCUGCGGGCCCUUUACCUUGAGAAAACUAGAGUGUUUAAGGCAGGCUUCGCCUGAAUACUGCAGCUGGGAAUAAUGCAUCACGACUGUCUUGGCGAGACAGCUCUACACUUUUAAUAGGAACAGUUGGGGGCAUUCGUACUCAGCAGUCAGAGGUGAAAUUCUUGGAUUUGCUGAAGACNGACUANUGCGAAAGCAUUUGCCAAGGAUGUUUUC